CAGGAACUUUCCAAUGGUCUUCCUCUGUUUGUUUUGGUGUCUUGUCCCAGCUGUUGGUUUUCCAGCAGAGAAGGUACCCUGCAGCACGGAUGCCGGUUUCACCUCAGCUUUUUUUGUUAGGUCCUAUGUUAGGGGAAGCAAUGAGUGCCCAGGGCCUCAGAGAGCUCCAGACUCAGACUCAGGAGAUCAGAGAAUCAUCCUGGGGGAAAACAUUCAAAGCUAAAGUCUAAAGAACUGAAAAAGGAAUAUCCUUCUGAAUGCAAUGAGGUGAAUGGAUCAGGGAGAUUGGAGGCAGAGAAGCAAGCUUGCACAGAUGAACAGCACAUUCUCAAGGUGCUUGGCAAGAAAGACCUUGGCUGAAUGUUUGUCAAGAAUAUAUCCUCUGAGGAAUCAAAGAUGGGAAAUCUCUAAAAAGGUUUGAGUUCCUUUCCUUAAGCUGCUAUACUAGCUGUCUUCCUAUC